UACGGGGGGGGCAAGCGUUGUUCGGAAUUACUGGGCGUAAAGGGCUCGUAGGCGGCCAACUAAGUCAGACGUGAAAUCCCUCGGCUUAACCGGGGAAUUGCGUCUGAUACUGGAUGGCUUGAGUUUGGGAGAGGGAUGCGGAAUUCCAGGUGUAGCGGUGAAAUGCGUAGAUAUCUGGAGGAACACCGGUGGCGAAGGCGGCAUCCUGGACCAACACUGACACUGAGGAGCGAAAGCCAGGGGAGCAAACGGG
rnacentral:rRNA from 1 species